rnacentral:rRNA from 1 species
AACGAACGCUGGCGGCAUGCCUAACACAUGCAAGUCGAACGAGAUCUUCGGGUCUAGUGGCGCACGGGUGCGUAACGCGUGGGAAUCUGCCCUUUGGUUCGGAAUAACAGUUGGAAACGAUUGCUAAUACCGGAUGAUGACGAAAGUCCAAAGAUUUAUCGCCAGAGGAUGAGCCCGCGUAGGAUUAGCUAGUUGGUGUGGUAAAGGCGCACCAAGGCGACGAUCCUUAGCUGGUCUGAGAGGAUGAUCAGCCACACUGGGACUGAGACACGGCCCAGACUCCUACGGGAGGCAGCAGUGGGGAAUAUUGGACAAUGGGCGAAAGCCUGAUCCAGCAAUGCCGCGUGAGUGAUGAAGGCCUUAGGGUUGUAAAGCUCUUUUACCCGGGAUGAUAAUGACAGUACCGGGAGAAUAAGCUCCGGCUAGCUCCGUGCCAGCCGCCGCGGUAA